CUAAAAAGCUAAGUAAAUAAGGCAUUCUAAACUUGUCCUUAUCCGGUCCCUAAAAAUAGGGAAUCCUAAAUCAUUCGUUCUUCUUCUCAGUUUCCUAAUUCUGGCGCAUCCAUGUUUCCAUCUCUCCACUCAACCUCUUUGUUCUUUAUCCUCAUUUAGGUGAUCUCCUUCCUUGGUUGACAGAGUGAUAUUUUCCCUCAAAGAUGUGAAUCCGGUGGAAUAUUGGGUGAACUUUUGUUGGGAUUGAACCAUGGUACUCCUUCUAAAAGCUCGAGGAAGCUCUAUUACUGCUGAUUCGGUUUGGCAUCCCCCAUUUUUUCUAGUCCUUAUUUGUAAACUGUAAUAGCUUAGGCUAGGAGGCUUAGUCAUUGCUGGGUAGCUUCCAUACAAGCAUGACUGUAAUGUGUAAAUAUAACAGAUGUGGCUUUCUGAGUUCUUCAUUUGUAUUAGCAUGCUUGCACUAUUCUUUUGGUCUUGAUA